rnacentral:rRNA from 1 species
AGCUUGCUCUUAUGAAGUUAGCGGCGGACGGGUGAGUAACACGUGGGUAACCUGCCCAUAAGACUGGGAUAACUCCGGGAAACCGGGGCUAAUACCGGAUAACAUUUUGAACCGCAUGGUUCGAAAUUGAAAGGCGGCUUCGGCUGUCACUUAUGGAUGGACCCGCGUCGCAUUAGCUAGUUGGUGAGGUAACGGCUCACCAAGGCAACGAUGCGUAGCCGACCUGAGAGGGUGAUCGGCCACACUGGGACUGAGACACGGCCCAGACUCCUACGGGAGGCAGCAGUAGGGAAUCUUCCGCAAUGGACGAAAGUCUGACGGAGCAACGCCGCGUGAGUGAUGAAGGCUUUCGGGUCGUAAAACUCUGUUGUUAGGGAAGAACAAGUGCUAGUUGAAUAAGCUGGCACCUUGACGGUACCUAACCAGAAAGCCACGGCUAACUACGUGCCAGCAGCCGCGGUAAUACGUAGGUGGCAAGCGUUAUCCGGAAUUAUUGGGCGUAAAGCGCGCGCAGGUGGUUUCUUAAGUCUGAUGUGAAAGCCCACGGCUCAACCGUGGAGGGUCAUUGGAAACUGGGAGACUUGAGUGCAGAAGAGGAAAGUGGAAUUCCAUGUGUAGCGGUGAAAUGCGUAGAGAUAUGGAGGAACACCAGUGGCGAAGGCGACUUUCUGGUCUGUAACUGACACUGAGGCGCGAAAGCGUGGGGAGCAUACAGGAUUAGAUACCCUGGUAGUCCACGCCGUAAACGAUGAGUGCUAAGUGUUAGAGGGUUUCCGCCCUUUAUUGCUGAAGUUAACGCAUUAAGCACUCCGCCUGGGGAAUACGGCCGCAAGGGUGAAACUCAAAGGAAUUGACGGGGGGCC